GGACAGCGAGCGGACAAGCGUUGCAAUCUUUUUUUCUUUUUUCUUUAUCUUUAUAACCUUCAGCCAGCCAGCUACAAGCAAAGUAUCGAUUUCUGUCUUUAGCAAAAGCAAAAUAUAAUACUCUCCAGGAAAGAUCAAAAGUUCAAGGUAAGGAUACUAACGUUUGCUUUUAUUCUGUCCAAGGUAUUUGUGCACACACACAAGCACGAAGCACCCCAAACAUUUCAUUUCAGCAUGUAGCAAGUCCUCUCUUCUGCUCUCCGAUCCGUCCAUGCUGUCGUGUGGAGUGUGGACUAUCCACUUGGGUUCUAUCCAGCUACGAAAAUCUACAUAGUGUCAUUUAUUCAACUUAACCAAGGAAGCAAUCGAGCACAAUUCGAUACACUGAUCUGGAGAUUGGUAAUCAGUUAACUAGUCAACGUUAACCCCGAAAUGGAAUUAAUCUAGUGGCUAGGGAUCAACAGAUCCUACCAAGUUGGUUUCAUCAUGCGUACGGAGGGAUGAAUUGAGGGAACCACCAGAAAAACUGGGUGAAAGAACCAGGUCUCAUUGGAGCUCCAAUCACCUGACCAACAACGCUCCAAACAAAUUUGGCAGUUGGACAGUUGAAGAAGAGAUGAGAGAUGGAUUCCCCAUUUUAGAAGAAGUGACAAGCAGAGUUCCCAAGCCAAUUGCCUCGUUUCAGCAGGUUAUCUUUUGUCGCAAUAGCACCAUGCCAAAUAAGUUAUAACUAGAUUUUGAUUUUGAGAGGUAUCUUGCUUUUCCAUUGAUGUUUGAAAGUUCUAUCCAAACCACAUCCACACAGGUGCUUGUAGACAGAGUUGACAGUAAAUUUGCCGUGCUUUGCCCAUUUCCAGAAAGGUUUGUCAGGUUCUUCACUGAGAAUAGUUAGAAACAUAAUUUGAGUCGGCCCAUGGAUCUGCAUAACAACAUCAACAUCCAUCUCCUGAAAGAGAACCUCCAGUUCAAAGUUGCUGCCUCUCCCACUGUAAUAGAUUGUUCCAUACAAAUCUCAUAAAUGUGAGAAAACCUGUCUUUUAAAGGACACUGAUCACACCAAGCAUCCCCCCAGAAACUGGUGGUUCUGCCAUCACCUACCUGCAUCCUUCUCCCACCCAGGUAUAUGUGUUUAACAUGUAACAUAUAAUCUUUCCAGAGGGGAGAAUCACCAGGUCUGUUCUUUGUAUAAAAAACAUCUUCAUCCCUCAAGUAUUUCUGUCUCAUCAGAUUUUGCCAUGGGCCAAAACCAUUCUCAAGUUUCCACCAUAACUUGCACAUCAGGCUAAUAUUAAACUUGUAUAGAUUUUUCAAACCCAGACGCCCUUUUUUUCUUGGGUGUACAGAUCCAUUUCCACUUAACAAAAUAAUAUUUCUUUUUAUCAGCACUCCCAGAAAUAGGACCUGAUGAGUUUGUCAACCUCUUCAAUGUUUAUUUUAUGUAGCAAUCUCAUAUAAAUCUUGUACACAAUAAUA